ACACGUCAGCGGCGGACGGGUGAGUAACACGUGGGCAACCUGCCUGUAAGACUGGGAUAACUCCGGGAAACCGGGGCUAAUACCGGAUAAUGCUUUUCCUCGCAUGAGGAAAAGCUGAAAGAUGGCAUCUCGCUAUCACUUACAGAUGGGCCCGCGGCGCAUUAGCUGUUGGUGAGGUAACGGCUCACCAAGGCGACGAUGCGUAGCCGACCUGAGAGGGUGAUCGGCCACACUGGGACUGAGACACGGCCCAGACUCCUACGGGAGGCAGCAGUAGGGAAUCUUCCGCAAUGGACGAAAGUCUGACGGAGCAACGCCGCGUGAGUGAUGAAGGUUUUCGGAUCGUAAAACUCUGUUGUCAGGGAAGAACAAGUACCGGAGUAACUGCCGGUACCUUGACGGUACCUGACCAGAAAGCCACGGCUAACUACGUGCCAGCAGCCGCGGUAAUACGUAGGUGGCAAGCGUUGUCCGGAAUUAUUGGGCGUAAAGCGCGCGCAGGCGGUUCCUUAAGUCUGAUGUGAAAGCCCCCGGCUCAA
rnacentral:rRNA from 1 species